rnacentral:rRNA from 1 species
UACAGAGGGUGCAAGCGUUAAUCGGAAUUACUGGGCGUAAAGCGCGCGUAGGUGGUUUUGUUAAGUUGGAUGUGAAAUCCCCGGGCUCAACCUGGGAACUGCAUUCAAAACUGACAAGCUAGAGUAUGGUAGAGGGUGGUGGAAUUUCCUGUGUAGCGGUGAAAUGCGUAGAUAUAGGAAGGAACACCAGUGGCGAAGGCGACCACCUGGACUGAUACUGACACUGAGGUGCGAAAGCGUGGGGAGCGAACAGGA